GAUCCUGGCUCAGGAUGAACGCUAGCUACAGGCUUAACACAUGCAAGUCGAGGGGGCAGCAUGAACUUAGCUUGCUAAGUUUGAUGGCGACCGGCGCACGGGUGAGUAACACGUAUCCAACCUGCCGAUGACUCGGGGAUAGCCUUUCGAAAGAAAGAUUAAUACCCGAUGGCGAUAGUUCGUUCCGCAUGGUGGAACUAUUAAAGAAUUUCGGUCAUCGAUGGGGAUGCGUUCCAUUAGGGUUG
rnacentral:rRNA from 1 species